rnacentral:snoRNA from 1 species
UGUCGAUGAUGUGGGCAGUCCUGAAGGAGAUCUUUGAACCUCUCCUAUGCAUGAAAUAAUUUCUCAUCUAUCAUUAAUUUGAAGCAUAAAAUCACACUGCACAGUCU